ensembl:lncRNA
GAUAUUAAUGUUAAACAACAAAAUAAUCUCUAGUUCAAGAAAGAAAAUUCCAGUAGAGCAAGAAGGACAACCAUCUAAACAAUUAGAAUACAAUGUGAUGAAUAUCAAGAUAAACAAUUGAACACGUGAUGUAUCGAGAAGUCAGAGGUAGAAGAAUUAACUUUAAGAGGCCUCCCAUCUGCUGACAUUAACUACACAUGCUCUCCAGACACCUGUGUUCAAGGGCAGCAAACAUAAAUGAACCCCCCACCCCACUGGAAAUGCUCCAGGCCACACUGCUUUAGCCUAUUAUGCUGUACUUUAUAAUGGUCUUACUCUUUUUCAGAUAUUCUUGACAUCCACCUUGGAACAAGUACUUUAAGAUGACCAGCAGGUCACUCACUAGGCACUACUCCACAUCUUCAUCGUCAAAUGGUUUUGACCAGUGGGCAUGACCUCCAGUGCUGUCCUUCUUCACUCAUAGUGACAAUGGUUCUAUCUUUACCUUCAGAAGGAGGAGACAGAUAACAGGGCAAUGUGCUGGCGAUGGACCCCACUGUUUCAAGCAAACUAAGCAGUCAAACACUGAGCUACACCCUAGGCCUAAUGACACUGACUUGACUCCAUUCUCUUUGUCUCUACUAAAUACAAGUACUUUCAUCCAUGUUUUGGUGGUAGUUCUAUAAGCAACUGAUGAAUCCUUGGUAGUUGGAAAUCAAGAAAUCUAGAAUGCUUCUAAACUUACUCUGACAAUGGAAAUAACCUAUAUCCAUGCUGUUCAAUAUGGCAGCCAGUAAACACUGACCAGUGAUUCAUUUGAUGUGACCAGUAUGACUGAGGAUUAAAUUUUAAAUUUUACUUGAUUUUAAUUAGUCUUAACAGAAAUGAUCACAGGUAUUUAGUGGCCAUAUACAAGUAUGAAACUGCUCAGCUCUAGAGGAAAAAUAAACUCAAGUGAGAGACUCAGGGCUUAUUUAAAUUGUAAUUCCUCUUACCUGGUGAUUUUAUUUCUAGAGUUCUUCACUUCUAAAACCUUAGAAGUUUUACAAUUUGUUUCAUUAAAGGAGACCAUUUAUUGUCAGUCUCUAUAUUAUAUUGCGUAGAGCUUUGGAAUUUAAAUUAGCAAUACCCUUCCACAAAGUGUUCUUUCUUUCACACAUGCCUAUGUGUUCCCUCUUCAUCACAUUGCAUCCUUCACUAUGUGGAAAAAACAUACAGGAAAAAGGGUUAAAAGGAUUGUGUACAAAGACACAAACCAUCCCCAACUUGCAAAAGGCUGCCUUGCAAAGGCUCAUGUGUGAAUUACGCUUUGGAACUUCAGAAAGUUUCUCAUUGACUUAGAAUACUAGAGCAAUCUACUAAAUUCAUUUGACACAAAAUAUAAGAGAAGAUACAUGAGUUACACAAAUAAUCAAAACAAUAAAGUAAUAGUUCUAAUAUAAAUAUAAAACUAAAAUAGAUGUGACAGUUUUUAUUUAGGGUGAGAGGAGGAAAAAGAGGAAUACAGCAUGCAUAGUUUCCUUGAGAACAGGAUACAAAAUGAUGUAGGUGAUGAAGACGCAUGAAUGGAGAAAUCAGCGACCAGCCCUGGAGUAGCUCCUCUCCACUAGCCAGCCUGGGGAAAUACUGUCUGUUCAGUGUGUACAUCACAUGCUGUCUAAGCCAUAAUGUUUCAGUCUGAAGACAUAGUGUGGGCUAUAGAAGAAAUGAGAUGAGCUGAGAGAUCAACAGGCAUUUAUCUGAGAAUGGAGGACAAGCAGAAAGCAGAAAGGGCCCCUGGGAAGAGUACAGCCCCCAGUACCCAGGUAACAGCACUAUUUGUUGCUCAGGUUGAAUACAAGCAAGUACUCCUACGAUAUUAGAAUAUUAGAAUACUCUAUAAUAGAGUACUAUGCAACUGGAAAAAAAAAGAAUGAGGAAUAUCUCUUUAUUCUAUUAUACCUAAUACAUUAUGUGGAAACACAAGAUAGAUAAAAAUGUGUAUAAGUAAGCAGUUGACUAUAGAAAAUAUAUAUUAUUUUUUUUCAAACAGAGGA